rnacentral:rRNA from 1 species
GACGAACGCUGGCGGCGUGCUUAACACAUGCAAGUCGAACGGAAAGGCCCUGCUUUUGUGGGGUGCUCGAGUGGCGAACGGGUGAGUAACACGUGAGUAACCUGCCCUUGACUUUGGGAUAACUUCAGGAAACUGGGGCUAAUACCGGAUAGGAGCUCCUGCUGCAUGGUGGGGGUUGGAAAGUUUCGGCGGUUGGGGAUGGACUCGCGGCUUAUCAGCUUGUUGGUGGGGUAGUGGCUUACCAAGGCUUUGACGGGUAGCCGGCCUGAGAGGGUGACCGGCCACAUUGGGACGGAGUUACGGCCCAGACUCCUACGGGAGGCAGCAGUGGGGAAUAUUGCACAAUGGGCGGAAGCCUGAUGCAGCAACGCCGCGUGCGGGAUGACGGCCUUCGGGUUGUAAACCGCUUUCGCCUGUGACGAGGCGUGAGUGACGGUAAUGGGUAAGAAGCACCGGCUAACUACGUG